rnacentral:lncRNA from 1 species
CAAAAUUAACCUUAGUUUGAUUUUAACGAAAAAUUGAAUUCUUAGGGUUCGUUGAUAUGCUGAAUCUGACCAUGUACUUAGAUUUUUUAUUAUGGGCCCGGUUUUCAAGUUGGUCCAAAUCUUCAUAAUAUCUUUCAUAGAUGUUUCGUACUAUUGAAAUAAAAUGCUCCGCAGGCGGCAGCUUGAUACGACCGCAAAGGUCGAACCCUGAACAGUUGGGACAAGUAUGGACACAACAGUCAAGCUUGAUACAGCUCUGAAUUUGGAUUGUGAUGAAAUAGUUGACACAGCAUAGGUUUCUGACACAGACUGGAUGUGGUUUAAGAACUUAAAAAAUCAAAUAAAGUUCAAUUUUGGACCCUUUAUACCUCAAUGUGGACCAAUUUGAUAACGGGGCCCAAAUAUCAAAAAUCUAAAUGCAUGGUUAGAUUUAGCAUAUCAAAGAACCCCAUAUAUUCAUUUUUUUGUUGAAAUUAAACAAAGUUUAAUUUUUGACCCUUUGGACCUUAAUGUAGACCAAUUUGAAAACGGGACAAUACUGUGCAUUUGCGGUCGUAUCAAGCUGCCGCCUGCGGAGCAUUUUAUUUAAAUAGUACGAAACAUAUAUGAAAGACUAAACUUGCAACCAGUUAUCCCUCUCGCCCAAACUAUGUGAAUUCAGAUUUUAUCCUACAUUGAUCUCUUGGUGUUGUCCACUUGGUUGCUUCUUGAGUAUUUAUGGUCUCACCACAACUUAUUCAGUAUUUUUUAAACAUGUUAGCUAGCCUUCACAUCAAGCCAAUUGAAUUAUUCUAAUUGCACGUUUUCAAAAAAUCUUCUCAAUUUAGAAACCAUUUGAUAGUUUUAAAAAUCCAAAUUUUAAAAAAAAAUCUUCCAAUGGACCAUCCGUUUCAAGAUAUGUUAAAAUAUGGAGAUGUGGUAUCGUUGUCUAUUCUUUAAAGACUGAAAAACGAGGGUGUAAAUUACUACAGGCCAUACCACAGGGAGUCAACAAUGAGUAAAACCAUACCGUAUAAAGUAGGAGGGCAAAUGAAUAGCACUUAAUACCUUCAGAAUUAUUUCGGAUGAAUCUUGUCUUACAACCAAUAUGGUGAAGGUAAAUCUAAAUGCAAAUUUUCAACAUCAAACAUUCAGUCAUUGAUUGAAUAUUUGGUUUGCAACUUUGAAAAAUGCAAGCCGGUAAGAAAACUUUCCAAACCAAAAACACAGUUUAAAUAACAUCAUUUAAUCGUUUGCAGGUUCAUUAGGUUAUGUAUAUACUCUUAUGCGGUAAAGCUUAGCGAAAGGUAUUGCGACGUAAUCAGUCAAACAAACUUUAUUAGAUUAACUCUUUAAGGAACGAUCGUUUUCAUUGGUCAAUUCAAACCUUCGACCUCACACCUG